rnacentral:rRNA from 1 species
GUUAAAAAGCUUGUAGUUGGAUUUCUGUCGAGAACGCGCGGUCCACGCUUUGCGUGAGUAUCUGUGUCGGUCUUGGCAUCCUCUAAAGGAUCGUUUUUGCGCUUGAUUUGCGUGGAGCGGAACUUUUAGACUUUUACUUUUGAGGAAAUUAGAGUGUUCACGGCAGGCAAACGCCUUGAAUACAUUAGCAUGGAAUAAUAACAUAGGGCCUUGGUUCUAUUUUUGUUUGUUUCUAGAGCUGAAGCAAUGAAUUAUAGGGAUAAAUGGGGGGCUUCCUACUAACGCGUCAGAAGUGGAAUUCUUGGAUUGCGUUAUGACGAACUACUGCGAAAGCAUUUUGCCAAGGAUGUUUUCAUUUGAUUCAAGAACGAAAGUUAGGGGAUCGAAGACGCUUAGAUACCGUCGUAGUCUUAACCAUAAACUAUGCCGACUAGAGAUUGGAGGUCGUUUUUUUUAAUGACUCCUUCAGCACCUUAUGAGAAAAUCAAAGUUUUUGGGUUCCGGGGGGAGUAUGGUCGCAAGGCUGAAAACUUAAAGGAAUUUGACGGAAGGGCACCACCAGGAGUGGAGCCCUGCGGCUUAAUUUUGACUCAACACGGGGAAAACUUUACCAGGUCCAGACAUAGUGAGGAUUUGACAGAUUUGAUAGCUCUUUUCUUUGUUUCUAUGGGUGGUGGUGCAUGGCCGUUUCUUAGUUGGUGGAGUGAUUUU